rnacentral:rRNA from 1 species
UCGAGCGGACCUCUUCGGAGGUUAGCGGCGGACGGGUGAGUAACACGUGGGCAACCUGCCUGUAAGACUGGGAUAACUCCGGGAAACCGGAGCUAAUACCGGAUAGUAUCUUGAACCGCAUGGUUCAAGUUGGAAAGACGGUUUCGGCUGUCACUUACAGAUGGGCCCGCGGCGCAUUAGCUAGUUGGUGAGGUAAUGGCUCACCAAGGCAACGAUGCGUAGCCGACCUGAGAGGGUGAUCGGCCACACUGGGACUGAGACACGGCCCAGACUCCUACGGGAGGCAGCAGUAGGGAAUCUUCCGCAAUGGACGAAAGUCUGACGGAGCAACGCCGCGUGAGUGAUGAAGGUUUUCGGAUCGUAAAACUCUGUUGUUAGGGAAGAACAAGUGCGAGAGUAACUGCUCGCACCUUGACGGUACCUAACCAGAAAGCCACGGCUAACUACGUGCCAGCAGCCGCGGUAAUACGUAGGUGGCAAGCGUUGUCCGGAAUUAUUGGGC